rnacentral:rRNA from 1 species
UACAGAGGUGGCAAGCGUUGUUCGGAAUUACUGGGCGUAAAGGGCGCGUAGGCGGCCAUCUAAGUCAGACGUGAAAUCCCCCGGCUUAACCUGGGAACUGCGUCUGAUACUGGAAGGCUUGAGUAUGGGAGAGGGAUGUAGAAUUCCAGGUGUAGCGGUGAAAUUCGUAGAUAUUGGGAAGAACACCGGUGGCGAAGGCGGCUAUCUGGACCGACAUUGACGCUGAGGCGCGAAAGCGUGGGGAGCAAACAGG